UGGGGAAUAUUGCACAAUGGGCGCAAGCCUGAUGCAGCCAUGCCGCGUGUAUGAAGAAGGCCUUCGGGUUGUAAAGUACUUUCAGCGGGGAGGAAGGGAGUAAAGUUAAUACCUUUGCUCAUUGACGUUACCCGCAGAAGAAGCACCGGCUAACUCCGUGCCAGCAGCCGCGGUAAUACGGAGGGUGCAAGCGUUAAUCGGAAUUACUGGGCGUAAAGCGCACGCAGGCGGUCUGUCAAGUCGGAUGUGAAAUCCCCGGGCUCAACCUGGGAACUGCAUUCGAAACCGGCAGGCUAGAGUCUUGUAGAGGGGGGUAGAAUUCCAGGUGUAGCGGUGAAAUGCGUAGAGAUCUGGAGGAAUACCGGUGGCGAAGGCGGCCCCCUGGACAAAGACUGACGCUCAGGUGCGAAAGCGUGGGGAGCAAACAGG
rnacentral:rRNA from 1 species